ACGCUGGCGGCGUGCCUAACACAUGCAAGUCGAGCGAGGAGAUUCCUUCGGGAUGAUCCUAGCGGCGGACGGGUGAGUAACACGUGGGCAACCUGCCUCAUAGAGAGGAAUAGCCUUCCGAAAGGGAGAUUAAUACCUCAUAACAUUGCAGUUUCGCAUGGAACAGCAAUUAAAGGAGUAAUCCGCUAUGAGAUGGGCCCGCGGCGCAUUAGCUAGUUGGUGAGGUAACGGCUCACCAAGGCGACGAUGCGUAGCCGACCUGAGAGGGUGAUCGGCCACAUUGGGACUGAGACACGGCCCAGACUCCUACGGGAGGCAGCAGUGGGGAAUAUUGCACAAUGGGGGAAACCCUGAUGCAAGCAACGCCGCGUGAGUGAUGACGGCCUUCGGGUUGUAAAGCUCUGUCUUCAGGGACGAUAAUGACGGUACCUGAGGAGGAAGCCACGGCUAACUACGUGCCAGCAGCGGC
rnacentral:rRNA from 1 species